CCUACGGGUGGCAGCAGUGGGGAAUCUUAGACAAUGGGCGCAAGCCUGAUCUAGCCAUGCCGCGUGAGCGAUGAAGGCCUUAGGGUUGUAAAGCUCUUUCAGCGAGGAAGAUAAUGACUGUACUCGCAGAAGAAGCCCCGGCUAACUCCGUGCCAGCAGCCGCGGUAAUACGGAGGGGGCUAGCGUUGUUCGGAAUUACUGGGCGUAAAGCGCACGUAGGCGGACUGGAAAGUCAGGGGUGAAAUCCCGGGGCUCAACCCCGGAACUGCCUUUGAAACUCCCAGUCUUGAGGUCGAGAGAGGUGAGUGGAAUUCCGAGUGUAGAGGUGAAAUUCGUAGAUAUUCGGAGGAACACCAGUGGCGAAGGCGGCUCACUGGCUCGAUACUGACGCUGAGGUGCGAAAGCGUGGGGAGCAAACAGGAUUAGAUACCCCUGUAGUC
rnacentral:rRNA from 1 species